GAUGAACGCUGGCGGCGUGCUUAACACAUGCAAGUCGAACGGGAAACCUUUUAUUGAAGCUUCGGCAGAUUUAGAUUGUUUCUAGUGGCGGACGGGUGAGUAACGCGUGGGUAACCUGCCUUAUACAGGGGGAUAACAGUCAGAAAUGACUGCUAAUACCGCAUAAGCGCACAGAGCUGCAUGGCUCGGUGUGAGAAACUCCGGUGGUAUAAGAUGGACCCGCGUUGGAUUAGCUAGUUGGUGAGGUAACGGCCCACCAAGGCGACGAUCCAUAGCCGGCCUGAGAGGGUGAACGGCCACAUUGGGACUGAGACACGGCCCAGACUCCUACGGGAGGCAGCAGUGGGGAAUAUUGCACAAUGGGGGAAACCCUGAUGCAGCGACGCCGCGUGAAGGAAGAAGUAUCUCGGUAUGUAAACUUCUAUCAGCAGGGAAGAA
rnacentral:rRNA from 1 species